AGGAGGGAGAGAAUCCAAGCAGAGUCCACACUGUCAGGCGCAGAGCCCACUGCAGGGCUCCAACUCCCAAACCAUGAGAUCAUGGCCUGAGCCAAAAUCGAGUCAGAUGCCUAAUCGGCUGAGCCACCAGGCACCUCGAGACCCCAGCCUUUUCUUAAGCCUCACUUGUUUACCAACCUGAGGGCCAUUCUGUUUGAUGAAGAAGAGGAUAGGGCUGGCACCCUCUGCCAGAGCCCAACCACCCGGCUGCCAAAAGGGAUGAGACACCGACAGCCUCUUGCCCCUCGAAAUCCAAAGACCUCAAAGGGGAAAAGAAAUGCAUCCAUUCUUCCUCUUUCUCCACGCUCCUCAUUCCCUACCCUUCUUAAGUGUACAGAAGAUGGACUAUUUUCUGUAUGUUUACUUGUGUAGGAACAGGCUGCAGGAGCAGGCGAGCAGCCGUGAAAACGGACCAUUGGUGCCGCAGAAGCUGUGCUGCAAGCUCAGGGCAUGAAGUGUCCUGGAGAGCUGUCCUGGGGACAGAGCCAAACCCACCAAGGCCUGAGGAGGGCAGGUGGGGUUUGGAAGGCCAAGGAGGAAGCUGCCAUGAGAAACCAAAGGUAGGAACUAGGAGUUCUACCUAUCGAGCAAAGUUGCAAACACAUUGGACUGGCACUCAGACCUGCCUUCGAGCUCUACCCCCACCUCUUAUGCUGCAUCAUUUGGAUUACUUUGCCUCUCCCUACCUCAGUUGCAUCAGCCAUGGUGGGGAUGAUGCCCACAAAGGAUUCAAAAAGGAAAUGAAAGUGCCCUGCUGCACACAUGAAUGCAGAAGGCUCUCUUCUGGACAUUUCUCACUUGUUGCAACUUGUCAGUUGUGGCACAAAGAGAUGUCUCCAUGUUAACUAAUAAGAAGCUUUUGAGGCCCGGUGGUGGUGGUCCUACAUCUACAAUUCUGAGGCCUCCAUUUCCUCCCUUAAAAGUGAGCCCUAGGAGAGGGAGAAGCCAGCUGUGCUCCGGCAGGGCCCCACUCACCGGUGUGAGUAGUAGAAUAGGACUUCGUUAAUCAGAGUGAAGAUAGCCAGCUCCAGAAGGAACCAGUGGAAGAUCUAAGCCCAGAUGGAGUCUGGUUAAAUUUCAUGGGACAGAACUGGAUGGUGGCCUACAGAAAACUGAAGCUGGAAGUUUUGACUGCUGCAGGACAGUACUUCCCUAAGUCUACCAACUGGGGGAGAUAUCACCAACAUGAUGAAAUUCAACUCAUGUUUAAUCAACUAAGUAAGCACCAUCCAUUGGGUCCUGCUCUGAGCAAGGCCCUGCGGUGGUACUGAACUCUUUAUAUACUAUGUUUUUUCCUAUACAUGCAUACCUGUGAUAAAGCUUUAUUUACAAGUUCAGCACAGGAAGAGAUCAACAACAACAAUGAUAAAAGUUAUAACAAUAUACUGGAAUAAAAGUUAUGUGAAUGUGAGUGAUCU